rnacentral:sRNA from 1 species
UUGUAGCCCCUGGAGAAAGAAGUCUUAUAUUUAUGCCUGGGACAGGUACAGCACAGGCAGCAACAGUGCAAACACACAUCCUCCUCCUUCACUGUGUCCCUCAACACCGGAGGUUCGUCUUUAAGAGUAAAAGGAGCUACUCACCUUUCAGUUUCUGCAGACAGUCAAAGGAGUCA